UUUGGAGGUUUGCAGAAGUGAUGACUGCAACUUGGCUUCAAGCAGCUUUGUUAAAGAUCGAGGAGUGCAACUAGCCUCAUAUGCCUUCUUCAGCCUGUGACAUCCAUCCCUUUCAGUAUGUCUGAGCUCAAAUAAUAUGGAAUCAUGGAAUAAAAGAAGAGACUGAAAAAUCAAGGCAAAGCUUCCAUUUCAGGCGCUGCCUCAGCAUCUACACAAUCUCCAAGAAGCACAAUCAUUGAGGAACAUGCUACUGUUCUUCUCCAGAUUAUACAAUAUAUUCAAGUGGAAAAUGUCACUGGGAAUAUUUAAUCCUCUCAAGGAAUCGAAAAACUACAAUAUUGACUUGCAAUAUAUAAAAGCGAUGGUGAAACCUAUCCACACAUCUUCCUAUUUCACCCAUUCAAAAGGAAAGUAUCUCUUUUCUCAUGAUUGGUUUCAUAAUUACUCAUGGCAGCGGAUAUAUUUUUGGUUUGGCCUCACUACCAGCUGGCCGUAAGCCUUUGCACAUUACUUUGUGUGGAUGGCGGGUUGAAAAAGGGCAGGGGAGGAUUAUUUAAAAACUCACUAGUGGACUCCUCUUUCAAAAUAGCCCAUUAAAUAUUAUUAUGAUUGGCUGCCAUUUCUUGGGCUGAAUGUCUUGACACACCCUUUGUCUCAUUGGGGAAUUUUUAACUUUUCUGUCCAAGAUUUCAAACUCUUGGAAAAAUAGAAAGGAAGAUAAUUUGGAGCCACUUUCUAAAAUCUAAAAGAACGAGUUAAAUAACUCUGGUGCCAAGUUUAAGAGGUAGCUAUACAGUUGUGUGGUCUUGCACAUAUGGAAGGUUUCAUGAGAAUUUUUCUUUCUAAACCAAUGGAGCCAAAACUCUAAUUAUAAAAAGUUUAGGGGGAAAAGAGGAAUAUAGCCUAACCCUAAUUCCAACCCUAAAAUCAGUACAGUCAGAAUCAGAUUACCUGUUUGCAUAAAUUCUUGGAUUUCAGCACAUGUUAAAAAUUUGUUGCAGAGAAAAUGACUGGAGAAGGGUCAUUUGGGCCUCCUUCUUGGAUGUUUUUAUGCAGACCUUCUUCCCAAGCAUUCAUUUUUACAGAGGGUGGAAGACAACUGAAAGAAGUGAAUUGUCUGAAGCCACUUCAAGAAUGAAGGCCUGAUGGGAUCCAGAUCAGCCUUGAGUAGGCCACAGGGGCCUGUCGAAAGAAAGAAAUUAUAGCCUUAAGCGUUCAAGAACAUGGAGUGUUGUGUAAUCAAGGAAACCUUUACAGCAAAAAAGAAGUGAAAAGAAGUAAGGCAAAGAGAUAAGAAAAAUAAAAUGAACCCACCUAAGACUGGCUUAUACCAAACCAUUCACUAUAUCUUUCCAUUUUUCCUUUCCUUUUUC